rnacentral:lncRNA from 1 species
UGGUGAGAUUGAACCACUUGAGGAGUUGCUUCUCGUUGCUGCUGCUUAAUGAUACACUGGAGCUAUUGUACCAUAGCAGUGAAGACUUGAACUUGCUGGAUAAGAAGACUAAAUUAUUGUGAAUCAGCAACUAGUGGUUGAGUAUUAUUCUAAGCAUCUCUAAGAGAAGAUGAGGCUAGUAGAGAAGGAAUUGGUGCUUUCUUAUUCACUAUUUUCACUAAAAAUUUUCAGAUCCCCUUCUUCUAGCACUAAUCUGUUACUGUAAGGCUCCAAAAGUGAGAUCGGUGCUGAACCUAACUGGAGAGCUGAGAGUUGCAUUGAUAAAAACUAUGGACGAAAUCUGCAAAUGAAGUCCCAAAACUAUAGGAUUCCCUUCGAUUUAGGACCCUUCGAUACUUGAGUCAGUUGGGGCCUUAAAAACAUGUAGUGAAAAUGGAGAAGUAGAAAGUAAGAAGUAAGAGUUUAAGUGGAGAAAAGUUGAGAGAACUUUGAUUUUCUUUAAGAAAUCUAACAGAGUUUUAUCUCUGUCUACUAAAACUUGACUUACCUUCCAG